GCUGGGAUUGCAGCUCAGUGGUAGAGUGCUUGCCUUGCAUUCAUGAGGCACUGGGUUCAAUUCUCAGCACAGCA
rnacentral:tRNA from 1 species